rnacentral:tRNA from 1 species
GCGGAGUGGUCAGUUUCGGACCUCACGACUGAAAAUCGCUAGGUCCCCGGUUCAAGCCCGGGACUGCCCA